UAGAUUGAAGCCAGUUGCUUAGGGUAUUUAGCUGUUAACUAAAAUUUCGUGGGAUGAUAGCCCACCAAUCUAG
rnacentral:tRNA from 1 species